rnacentral:rRNA from 1 species
GUAGCGUAUAUUAAAGUUGUUGCAGUUAAAAAGCUCGUAGUCGAACUUCGGGCCCGGCGGGACGGUCUGCCUUACGGUAUGUACUGUCCGGCUGGGUCUUACCUCUUGGUGAGGCUACAUGCCCUUCAUUGGGUGUGUAGUGGAACCAGGAAUUUUACCUUGAGAAAAUUAGAGUGUUCAAAGCAGGCAUUUGCCCGAAUACAUUAGCAUGGAAUAAUAGAAUAGGACGUGCGGUUCUAUUUUGUUGGUUUCUAGGAUCGCCGUAAUGAUUAAUAGGGAUAGUCGGGGGCAUCAGUAUUCAAUUGUCAGAGGUGAAAUUCUUGGAUUUAUUGAAGACUAACUACUG